rnacentral:tRNA from 1 species
AGCUAAAAUAGGGACUAGCGUUAGCCUUUUAAGCUAAAGACUGGUGACUCCCAACCACCCUCAGCGA